rnacentral:misc_RNA from 1 species
AACAAGGCGUACCUGCGGACCUGCGGAGGGAUCAUUACAGAGUUCGUGCCCUCGCGGGUAGAUCUCCCACCCUUGUGUAUUCCUUACAUUUUGUUGCUUUGGCAGGCCGUUGGUUCGCCAACCACCGGCUCUACGGGCUGGUGCGUGCCUGCCAGAGGACCCCCCAAACUCGGUUUGUUAGUGUCGUCUGAGUAACCAUAACAAUCGUUAAAACUUUCAGCAAUGGAUCUCAGAUCGGAA